UACGUAGGUGGCAAGCGUUAUCCGGAUUUAUUGGGCGUAAAGAGAACGCAGGCGGUCUUUUAAGUCUGAUGUGAAAGCCUUCGGCUUAACCGGAGUAGUGCAUUGGAAACUGGGAGACUUGAGUGCAGAAGAGGAGAGUGGAACUCCAUGUGUAGCGGUGAAAUGCGCAGAUAUAUGGAAGAACACCAGUGGCGAAAGCGGCUCUCUGGUCUGUAACUGACGCUGAGGUUCGAAAGCGUGGGUAGCAAACAGG
rnacentral:rRNA from 1 species